rnacentral:ncRNA from 1 species
CAGAGGUUUGGUCCUAGCCUUACUGUUAAUUGUUAUUAGACCUACACAUGCAAGUCUCCGCAACCCGGUGAGUAUGCCCCUAAAACUCAAACCUGAGCUUUAYGGAGUGGGUAUCAGGCACACUCCUUAAAAGUAGCCCAUGACACCUUGUUUAACCACACCCCCAAGGGAUACAGCAGUGACUAACAUUGAGCAAUGAACGAAAGUUCGACUAAAUUAUAAUAAAUAAGGGUUGGUAAAUCUCGUGCCAGCCACCGCGGUCAUACGAUUAACCCGAAUUAACAGAAAAGCGGCGUAAAGUGUGUUUAAGCAAAAUACCCCUAAAUAAGGUUAAAACUCAACUGUGCUGUAAUACGCCCUAGUUGCUAUUAAAAUACACAACUAACGUGACUUUACCCAAUGCUGAAGACACUAAAGCUAAGACCCAAACUGGGAUUAGAGACCCCACUAUGCUUAGCCAUAAACUGAGGUAAUUAAAUAACGAAAUAACUCGCCAGAGAACUACGAGCCACUGCUUAAAACUCAAAGGACUUGGCGGUGCCCUAGACCCUCCUAGAGGAGCCUGUUCUAUAAUCGAUAAACCCCGAUACACCUCACCUCUCCUAGCUUAACAGUCUAUAUACCGCCAUCGUCAGCUCACCCCAAUAGGGUUCAAAAGUGAGCAAAAUCAUGAAACCAUAAAAACGUUAGGUCAAGGUGUAGCAUAUGGAAAGGGAAGUAAUGGGCUACAUUUUCUACUCUAGAACAUAACGAAUUGUCUAUUGAAAUAAAGAUAUGAAGGAGGAUUUAGCAGUAAAUUAAGAAUAGAGAGCUUAAUUGAAAAUGGCAAUAGGGUGCGCACACACCGCCCGUCACCCUCCUCAACAAAGUAACUUUCCCCAUACCUAAUAAAAAUACGCCAAAAAAGAGGAGAAAAGUCGUAACAUGGUAAGUGUACUGGAAGGUGCACUUGGAAUAUC